rnacentral:rRNA from 1 species
AUUGAACGCUGGCGGCAGGCCUAACACAUGCAAGUCGAGCGGAUGAAGGGAGCUUGCUCCUGGAUUCAGCGGCGGACGGGUGAGUAAUGCCUAGGAAUCUGCCUGGUAGUGGGGGAUAACGUCCGGAAACGGGCGCUAAUACCGCAUACGUCCUGAGGGAGAAAGUGGGGGAUCUUCGGACCUCACGCUAUCAGAUGAGCCUAGGUCGGAUUAGCUAGUUGGUGGGGUAAAGGCCUACCAAGGCGACGAUCCGUAACUGGUCUGAGAGGAUGAUCAGUCACACUGGAACUGAGACACGGUCCAGACUCCUACGGUAGGCAGCAGUGGGGAAUAUUGGACGAUGGGCGAGAGCCUGAUCCAGCCAUGCCGCGUGUGUGAAGAAGGUCUUCGGAUUGUAAAGCACUUUAAGUUGUGAGGAAGGGCAGUAAGUUAAUACCUUGCUGUUUUGACGUUACCAACAGAAUAAGCUCCGGCUAACUUCGUG